UCAAUGAGACAUGGCCUAGCUCUAGAGAGCUGCAGGUGAAGCCCAAAGGAAUAGAAGCUGCUCACUUCUUUAUGGAAGGACUCAGCUGCUCACAACAGCAAGCCAUUGGCUUAUUCAACAGAACACAUCUUCUGAAGAUAUUUGAAUAUGAUAGCCAAGAAGACUGAGCAGUCUUUGAAGAAACAGAGGACCAUGCAGCUGAAGAGAUGCAAUAGGUUUUCAGAGAACUGAAUCCUUGCACAUCCUUCAGCUGAAUAAGCCCACCCUUCUGAAGAGUUUGGUCCAGGCUUUGUACAUCAAACAACCUUCAGUGAAGUUAUUCUUGCCUCAUACAAGUGGUAAGAGGAAAGCAAGUUAUUCAUAUUUAAUGCUAUUUUGUGCCAGAUGUUUUGCUGGUAGAAAUCCAUAGCUCCACAGGCACCAAUUUCUUCAGGAUCUGGAAUGUCUGGCCCAAUUUCUUUCUCACUGUGGAUGGUCUGUGAAAGAAACCACUUUAUUUUGCAAUAUUGAAUAUUCUUGCCGGGAAGUUAUAAACAAAAACAAAAUAAUGAGAGACAGGGUCUCUAAUAAGCUUCCUGUCGCAUGAGGCUCUGGUUCUAUUGAAGCAUAUGUGUUUGCUGACUUGCUUCCAAAAGGUUUGUUGAGUGGUGGUGAUUAGUUUCUGUUGUACUGAUAUUAUCUCUCUGUAGUCUCAUUCAAUACAAGUAGUUCUGUAAACAGUGAAGUCUUUUUUUCCUACGGGUUUGUACCUUGGAUUGUGUUUCAGCAUGGAUUCUCUGAUGUUUAAUGGGGAUUGAGUUCAUGUUCAGCCAAUUUCUUCAAUGAGGGAUGAAUAAUCUGUCUUUUUGGCCAUCUAUUUCCACAAAAUUUGCUGGAAUUAAAUAUCUUCAACGCCCUCUAUCAAAGUUGACUGGGAUUUAUGAACAAGUUUUGGAGUUAUUUGGGGCUGUCCAAUGUAGAUAAAAGAGAGUCUCAUUUUCUUACAAAAACAGAAUGUAAAAAUGCAUUUUUAAAGUGUUUUGUCUGAUUCUGUUCUAUUUGUGACCAGUCAUAUAGGAUGUGUUUUAUUUGUAAAGCUGUAUAAAAGUAUGAUGUGGGUUUUUUUGCCCUGUUGAGUGCAUAUUAAAGCAUCUUUAGUUUAUUCUUG
rnacentral:lncRNA from 1 species